rnacentral:lncRNA from 1 species
GAUUGUGCUGGUUGUUCCUUGCACAAGGGAAUCUGCCCAAAGGAACAAAUCCAUCCAAAAUGCGUGAUCUGAGCCUGGGCUGCACUGGCCUGAUAGGAGGGCAUCCCCAAUCUACCAAGAUUCGUAUGUGCUAGACUCAAGGUUAAAAGAUUACCUGGAGCAGGUCAGAACUUGGGUACCAGAGUCCCAGACAAAAGGAAGGCCUAGGCUGGGUGCGGUGGCUCACACCUGUAAUCCCAGCACUUUGAGAGGCUGAGAGCUAAGUGUUAUUAACAAAAAAGUCAAAAAUUUAAAAUCGUAUAAAAUAAAAAAAUUACAGUAAGCUAAGUUUAAUUUAUUAAUGAAGAGAGAAAAAUAUCUUUAAGUAAGUUUAGUGUAGCUUAAGUGUCCAGUGUUCAUAGAGUCUACAGUGAUGUACAGUAAUGUCCUAUGGCCUAAACACAGAUUUUAGAUGGAGAAAAGAGUUCAGUCAAAUAAGUAGAGGGACGAGGAGAAGAGAGUGUGUAGAUAUUGAAAAAGAAAAGCAGGAAAGAAGAAAAAUGAAUAUAUGCAGGACAGAGCUUAUUACCAAGGAAAUAAAACUGAAGAAUUAACGAUAUGAAUUCACAGAGCUAACACAAUGGUUGAGAAAUCUAGGUAUAGAAGAAAAGAUAGUGUUACCAAGGACAAAUAUGCAGAAAGCAGACAGAACUAUGAUUCAGCAGUACAGCUUCCUCCUAUUACCACUAACCAGACACUACCAUUUCUUCUUGCCUCGUGGUAAAGAAGCCAGCCAAAACCCAACAAAUCCAAGAUAGCAAUGAAAGUGACCUCUAGUCAUUCUCAUUGCUCAUUAUACACUAAUUAUAAUGGAUUAGCAUGCUAAAAGACACUCCUAACAGCACCAUGACAGUUUACAAAUGCCAUGGCAAUGCCAGGAAGUUGCCGCAUAUAAUCAAGAAAUAACAAUAAAAAUAGCCAAACAACAGCCAUUAGGGCUGCUCUGUCUAUGGAGUAACCACCCUUUUAUUUUUUUACUUUCUUGAUAAACUUGCUUUUACUCUACUCUGCGGACUCUGUGGACUCACCCCUAAUUUUUCUUUCGUGAGAUCUGAGAACCCUCUUUCCACUAACAUAAAGAUUGACAACCAGCUAUUCUUAACUUCUCCUUACAAUUAGAGUACUCAGUAAUCAUAUAAAUUGUAUGAACCCUUCCAUAGUUAAGUCAUAACCUUAUUAAUGCUUAUUGGCUUCACUGGGGAGAUUACCCUUUGUAAAGAUGCUCAAAAGCCAGAAAUAUCAGCUAUUUGCCUCAGCUAAAAUCUGGUAAUAAUGAGACAGCCAGGUGGGAAGGGCUCCCUGGCAAAACUCCAGCUGGUCUGCACACUAGGAGGAGUGCACUCUGGGGUGGAGCCACAGAAGUUCGUGCUAUUUGCAGUGGGGAGGAGCCUGGCCUCUCCUCUUCCUGGGUGGAACCUGGGAUUCAAUCUGCAAGGCAGAAAGCACACUCUCUCACUUCACCAAGAGUCUCUGUUUUUCCAUUUUCCCCCACUUUUCACCCAAUAAAAUCUUUACUUGUCAGGCCUCUGAGAUUUUGUGCUGCUCCAACGCUUCACUAUUUCGUUUU